rnacentral:tRNA from 1 species
GGGACGGUAGCUCAACGGUCAGAGCGCCCGGCUGUCGCCCGGAUGGUUGCGGGUUCGAAUCCCGUCCGUCCCG